GAUGGGAAACAGGUUAAUAUUCCUGUACUUGGUGUUACUGCGAAGGGGGGACGGAGAAGGCUAGGCUAGCCGGGCGACGGUUGUCCCGGUUUAAGCGUGUAGGGGGUGUGACCUGGUAAAUCCGGUUGCAUAUCAACCCUGAGGCGUGAUGACGAUGCACUACGGUGCAGAAGUAGUUGAUGCCCUGCUUCCAGGAAAAGCCUCUAAGCUCCAGGUAACAUUGAAUCGUACCCCAAACCGACACAGGUGGUCAGGUAGAGAAUACCAAGGCGCUUGAGAGAACUCGGGUGAAGGAACUAGGCAAAAUGGUGCCGUAACUUCGGGAGAAGGCACGCUGGCAUGUAGGUGAAGUCCCUUGCGGAUGGAGCUGAAGCCAGUCGAAGAUACCAGCUGGCUGCAACUGUUUAAUAAAAACACAGCACUGUGCAAACACGAAAGUGGACGUAUACGGUGUGACGCCUGCCCGGUGCUGGAAGGUUAAUUG
rnacentral:rRNA from 1 species